AAUUUGGUAGCUUUCCUUUUCAACAUAACAAAAGCUUUUUCAAAAGGGGACUGUAUUUGAACACCUCAACAGCCUCGUGAAGCAAAACAUCGAUUAUCUUCGAAACUCUCCAGAGAUCAGCGACCUUUGGACUCCACCACCCGUACAAGCUGAGCAUUAUGAUACAGGCUUGCGGCGCUAACAUGGAAACAUAGUGAGGAGAAACUAGGGUUUCCAAACCCUAGUUCACCGGUUCGAGGCUCCAGGUGUUUCAGCAGGUCUUGGGUUCUCUGUAAAACGGGCUACUAAUGCAUUGGGCCACUGGGAUUUGUUGGUCUUUGGGCAGCUUUGUAAUAAUUCUGGGCCAUAGGUUCAGGCCUGCCACAAUGUAAAAAUAAAAUAAAUAAUAACGUAAAUAUAAUUUAUAA